rnacentral:rRNA from 1 species
GACGAACGCUGGCGGCGUGCCUAAUACAUGCAAGUCGAACGCAGUGGGGACGGGUGGGUAACACGUGGGUAACCUCCCAUCAGAGGGGAUAACACUUGGAAACAGGUGCUAAACCGAUACUGAUGGAUGGACCCGCGGUGCAUUAGCUAGUUGGUGAGGUAACGGUUCACCAAGGCCACGAUGCAUAGCCGACCCGGGUGGGUGAUCGGCCACACUGGGACUGAGACUAGGCCCAGACUCCUACGGGAGGCAGAAGUAGUGAAUCUUCGGCAAUGGACGAAAGUCUGACCGAGCAACGGCGCGGGAGUGAAGAAGGUUUUCGGAUCGUAAAACUCUGUUGUUAGAGAAGCGGUAACUAACCAGAAAGCCACGGCUAACUACGUGCCAGCCGCCGCGGUAAUAC